GAUGAACGCUGGCGGCGUGCUUGACACAUGCAAGUCGAACGGGAAACCUUUUAUUGAAGCUUCGGCAGAUUUAGCUGGUUUCUAGUGGCGGACGGGUGAGUAACGCGUGGGUAACCUGCCUUAUACAGGGGGAUAACAACCAGAAAUGGUUGCUAAUACCGCAUAAGCGCACAGGACCGCAUGGUCCGGUGUGAAAAACUCCGGUGGUAUAAGAUGGACCCGCGUUGGAUUAGCUAGUUGGCAGGGUAACGGCCUACCAAGGCGACGAUCCAUAGCCGGCCUGAGAGGGUGAACGGCCACAUUGGGACUGAGACACGGCCCAGACUCCUACGGGAGGCAGCAGUGGGGAAUAUUGCACAAUGGGGGAAACCCUGAUGCAGCGACGCCGCGUGAAGGAAGAAGUAUCUCGGUAUGUAAACUUCUAUCAGCAGGGAAGAUAGUGACGGUACCUGACUAAGAAGCCCCGGCUAACUACGUG
rnacentral:rRNA from 1 species